GAUGAACGCUAGCGGCAGGCCUAACACAUGCAAGUCGAGGGGCAGCACAUAAAGUGGUUUACUACUUUUGGUGGCGACCGGCGGACGGGUGCGUAACGCGUAUGCAACCUGCCUCCAGCAGGGGGAUAACGGAGAGAAAUUUCCACUAAUACCCCAUAAUAUCAGAAUCGGCAUCGGUUUUGGUUGAAAACUCCGGUGGUUGGAGAUGGGCAUGCGUGGUAUUAGAUAGUUGGUGAGGUAACGGCUCACCAAGUCAACGAUACAUAGGGGGACUGAGAGGUUAGCCCCCCACACUGGUACUGAGACACGGACCAGACUCCCACGGGAGGCAGCAGUGAGGAAUAUUGGUCAAUGGGGGCAACCCUGAACCAGCCAUGCCGCGUGCAGGAAGACGGCUCUAUGAGUUGUAAACUGCUUUUACAAGGGGAUAAAUCGGUGUACGUGUACACCGUUGAAGGUACCUUGGGAAUAAGGAUCGGCUAUCUCCGUGCCAGCCGCCGCCGUAA
rnacentral:rRNA from 1 species